AGUGUCUUCCAACCCACUAGUCUGUUGGAGGACAUUGGACUUUGAUGACUACUAUGCUAAAACUACAUGAAAUUUCUAUUAAAGAGACUUAGCUCUAAUAACUAUUGAAAUCCAUUAAAGUGCUGCCAACUACGAUAAUCACACAGCCAACUCCUUUCUUGGCUACAAUGAAGUCUUGCUACCUACAAACAAAUUGAUUCAUUAAGGCAAAAACUUGCAAAUAGAAUUAUUUCUUUUUUUGGCCAUAAAAUCAUUACAAAAAGGGUUGAGAUUAUAUACCAUCACUGGAUCCAACACACAUAGAAUCUUUGGGACUUAAAAUAAUAAUAUUAUUGAAGCAAAAAUCUUCACCUAAGAAUAGCUCAAAAUAUUUCAACUCCAUAUGGAACCUCUUUCUAAUAUCUAGUGGCCUCUAAUCUCUAACUCAAAUAGAAUGCAUAUAACCAAGGAUAUUAACUCUCACAAACUCCAAAAUGGCCCAC
rnacentral:lncRNA from 1 species